rnacentral:hammerhead_ribozyme from 1 species
AUCCAGAUGACGAGUCACAAAUAGGACGAAAUGCGCAUCCUGGCUGGAU